UACGUAGGGUGCGAGCGUUAAUCGGAAUUACUGGGCGUAAAGGGCGUGUAGGCGGUAUGUUAAGUCUGGCGUGAAAGCUCUCGGCUAAACCGGGAGAGGUCGUUGGAUACUGGCACACUAGAGGAUGGUAGAGGCGUGUGGAAUUCCGGGUGUAGUGGUGAAAUGCGUAGAGAUCCGGAGGAACACCAGUGGCGAAGGCGACACGCUGGGCCAUACCUGACGCUAAAGCGCGACAGCAUGGGGAGCAAACGGG
rnacentral:rRNA from 1 species